CUAGGGUUUGGUGCUUUGAAUAUCAUCCGUAGAGUGGAGCAUUGCUUCUUAGUCCUUGGAUGAUUGUCUUAUUUGAUUAAUCCUUUAAAUUGGUUGCUCUUAGCCUCUUGAUUCUUGAAUUUUACUUUGGAUUUGAACCAAUUUGGAUCUUGAUUUUGCUCAAUCUCUCAAUUUUCUGUAAAAGAGGAGAAAAAGUAUCAAAUUCUAUAUAA
rnacentral:lncRNA from 1 species